GCCCCGCUGCGCCCCAGCCGGCUGCUUUCGCUCCGGCGGAAAAGGAGCGGAGGAGGCCGGUGUUGCCCCGCCGCCGCUGGGAUUGUUCCUCACAAUUGACACGGUACUGUACAAGCUGUUCUUCGCUGUGUUUCUUGAAUACGCACGAAUUGACAACUGACAUAAACACUUCGCGGGAAUAAUAUAGCAUAAUUUGUGGGUGUAAAUGUGCCUUCAGAACUCGCUUCAGAGCUGGCCCAGCAAAUGCAUAAAUGAUGCCGAAGUCUCUCAGAACGGCAGCAAACAGUUCUCAACACAGCACGUUGUAGUUUGUACGAGGGUGGUUUGUAAUGUAUAAUUCUCUGUCCGUGAAGGCUUUUUGCAAUAUUUGUUCUAAACACAAACUAUUAAAUCGUACCGUGUAUUUCGUUAAUUGAGAGCCUGAGAACUGUGGCGUCAAGCAGGGAGACAACUGGGCUCUGAUCCUGCAAGCGGUAAUGGAGUCAUGCUUGCUAUUUAUCAGGACUUCUAGGAUCAAUUGUUCAUAACUUCUGCAAAACUAGAGACAAAAUCCCUGCUUAAGGAUCAAGCAAAUGCAGACUGAAAAAUCCGUGUAAAGAAAGAUAAAUGUCAUAAUGAACAAUCAGGGAAGCUACACGAGAUACCGAGUGUAGCUCAUUUUCAGGGAGCAGACUUGGGUAGAAAAUUCGAAGUACGCCCAGAACGCAGCUGUAGGAUGUGGUAUUGAAAACCUGCUCAUUCUGAAGUUCGCUGUGUUAGAAUAAUUAAUGUAUGAAGUUCCCGCAGUGCCUGAGAGGGAAAAGAGCAAGUCUGCAACGCAUAUUUUUCUGUGCUUGACAGCAUGCCUUCGAGGGAGUUAUUUUUAUAUUAAAUAUAUGUGCUUAAGUUACUUCAAAAUAUGUCAAAUGCCUUUGUUUGGACGUUUUGGGUUUGUUUGGGGGUUUUUUGUUUGUUUCAGGUUUUUUUUCUACAUUGUUAAAAUUUUUGUAUACUGUAUUCCAGCAUUUCUGCUGCUCACAUAACUUAAUAGGCGAAUUGUGCAUGUUUGCUGUGUUAUUGCUGACAAAAAUGGCACGGUAAACCACUGAACACAGAGGUGAAAGCUAACGGAAUUUUGUACCAAACCCACAUGACAAGGCUAAUUUCUAGUUUAACUGUGUAUUCUUCUAGACAAAGUCUUCCUGUCAUUUAGAAGUACUUAAAAAUAUGAAAAUAAAUUGCUGGUUAUUCAUAUAGAUUAUUACAGAUUCCUGUGGAGGAGGAGCACAGCAGGAGAAGGUGACACAACUGCAUCAGCUUGGUUCUUUACCCGACUUAAAUUGAUGUAGGUAGGAACAUUUCCCUCUAGCUGGGGAUCUGUGAUAUUGACAGAUUUAUUUGCUAUUAAGGACCUGGAAUUUAAUUUACCUGAACUGCAAAAGAAGUUUUGAUGGAUAAAGAUAUAGGAUCGGGCCAACGCAAAAAAAAAAAAAAAAAAAAAAAAAAAAAAAAAAAAAAAAAAAUCUCAGUCACUGAACAAUUGGUGUCAGCUUAUUUUAUUGUGUUUUAAAUCCUGGUUUGGCUUAAUUUUCUAAAUUACUUUUGAGAUAUAGUUCAUCAAGAUGUCUGAAACACAAUGGCAGAAAAUUCUAUGGAUCCAAAUAGCUUAGUAGGAGUUUUAAAAGGAUUAUGUAGCUGUAUGGAUAAUAAAAAAAGCCCAAAGAACUGGUAAUACAGGCAUAUAUAAGGGAUAGAAAUACACCAGGGUGUAAAACAAGACUAGAUUUACAUUGUUGGAAAUAGUGUUUCCCAGUGCAGGCUUUUUCAUAAUCCUUUAUCAUGGAGUUACUCAUCAUCGCUUACUUCACUUCAUCUGGGACUGAUAUCUGUCUGAAUAAACCACUUUUAAUUUUGCCAA